GGGUAGGAGGUAAGUGGGAGGGAGGAAGGGAGAGAGGGUGGGUGAGGGAGAGGGGAGACGGCGUGAAGGAAGGGGGCCUUUGGCAGAAUACAAACCCCCCCCUACCCCCUUCCCCGUCUCUUCCCCUCCCUCGUCUCUUGUCACCCUUUCUUCUCCUCCACAGUCUCACACCCUCCUUCCAUCCUCUCUGUCCUCUAAUCUCAUUCCCCCUCCUUCCCCCUUUUUCUCACCC